UACGUAGGGUCCGAGCGUUGUCCGGAAUUAUUGGGCGUAAAGGGCUCGUAGGCGGCCAACUAAGUCGGACGUGAAAUCCCUCGGCUUAACCGGGGAACUGCGUCCGAUACUGGAUGGCUUGAGUUUGGGAGAGGGAUGCGGAAUUCCAGGUGUAGCGGUGAAAUGCGUAGAUAUCUGGAGGAACACCGGUGGCGAAGGCGGCAUCCUGGACCAACACUGACGCUGAGGAGCGAAAGCCAGGGGAGCAAACGGG
rnacentral:rRNA from 1 species